GACGAACGCUGGCGGCGUGCUUAACACAUGCAAGUCGAACGGUAAGGCCCUUCGGGGUACACGAGUGGCGAACGGGUGAGUAACACGUGGGUGAUCUGCCCUGCACUUUGGGAUAAGCCUGGGAAACUGGGUCUAAUACCGGAUAGGACCACGGCCUGCAUGGGUUGUGGUGGAAAGCUUUUGCGGUGUGGGAUGGGCCCGCGGCCUAUCAGCUUGUUGGUGGGGUGAUGGCCUACCAAGGCGACGACGGGUAGCCGGCCUGAGAGGGUGUCCGGCCACACUGGGACUGGGAUACGGCCCAGACUCCUACGGGAGGCAGCAGUGGGGAAUAUUGCACAAUGGGCGCAAGCCUGAUGCAGCGACGCCGCGUGGGGGAUGACGGCCUUCGGGUUGUAAACCUCUUUCACCAGGGACGAAGCGCAAGUGACGGUACCUGGAGAAGAAGCACCGGCCAACUACGUGCCAGCAGCCGCAGUAA
rnacentral:rRNA from 1 species